rnacentral:rRNA from 1 species
GAUGAACGCUGGCGGCGUGCCUAAUACAUGCAAGUCGAGCGAACGGACGAGAAGCUUGCUUCUCUGAUGUUAGCGGCGGACGGGUGAGUAACACGUGGAUAACCUACCUAUAAGACUGGGAUAACUUCGGGAAACCGGAGCUAAUACCGGAUAAUAUUUUGAACCGCAUGGUUCAAAAGUGAAAGACGGUCUUGCUGUCACUUAUAGAUGGAUCCGCGCUGCAUUAGCUAGUUGGUAAGGUAACGGCUUACCAAGGCAACGAUGCAUAGCCGACCUGAGAGGGUGAGCGGCCACACUGGAACUGAGACACGGUCCAGACUCCUACGGGAGGCAGCAGUAGGGAAUCUUCCGCAAUGGGCGAAAGCCUGACGGAGCAACGCCGCGUGAGUGAUGAAGGGCUUCGGAUCGUAAAACUCUGUUAUUAGUGAAGAACAUAUGUGUAAGUAACUGUGCACAUCUUGACGGUACCUAAUCAGAAAGCCACGGCUAACUACGUG